rnacentral:rRNA from 1 species
GAACGCUGGCGGAAUGCUUUACACAUGCAAGUCGAACGGCAGCACGGACUUCGGUCUGGUGGCGAGUGGCGAACGGGUGAGUAAUAUAUCGGAACGUGCCCAGUCGUGGGGGAUAACGUAGUGAAAAUUACGCUAAUACCGCAUACGAUCUAAGGAUGAAANCGGGGGAUCGCAAGACCUCGCGCGAUUGGAGCGGCCGAUAUCAGAUUAGGUAGUUGGUGAGGUAAAGGCUCACCAAGCCAACGAUCUGUAGCUGGUCUGAGAGGACGACCAGCCACACUGGAACUGAGACACGGUCCAGACUCCUACGGGAGGCAGCAGUGGGGAAUUUUGGACAAUGGACGCAAGUCUGAUCCAGCCAUUCCGCGUGCAGGACGAAGGCCUUCGGGUUGUAAACUGCUUUUGUACAGAACGAAAAGGUCUCUAUUAAUACUAGGGGCUCAUGACGGUACUGUAAGAAUAAGCACCGGCUAACUACGUG